rnacentral:rRNA from 1 species
UACAGAGGGGGCAAGCGUUAUUCGGAAUUAUUGGGCGUAAAGGGCGCGUAGGCGGCCUGACAAGUGGAAGGUGAAAUCCCUCGGCUCAACUGAGGAACUGCCCUCCAAACUGUUUGGCUUGAGACCGGGAGAGGUGAGUGGAAUUCCCAGUGUAGCGGUGAAAUGCGUAGAUAUUGGGAGGAACACCAGUGGCGAAGGCGGCUCACUGGACCGGAACUGACGCUGAGGCGCGAAAGCGUGGGGAGCGAACAGG